rnacentral:rRNA from 1 species
AUGGGCCGCGGCGGUGCGCGCGACGGCGCCGCCCCGAUGGGCCGCGGCGGUGCGCGCGACGGCGCCGCCGCCGCGCCGCCGUGGCACUCGCUCCCGGACGAGGUCCUGGAGCACGCCUUCUCCUUCCUCCCCGCCGCCGCCGACCGCGGCGCCGCGGCGGCCGUCUGCCACGGCUGGCUCGGGGCCGAGCGCCGCUCCCGGCGCCGCCUCGCCGUCGCCAACUGCUACGCCGCCGCCCCGCGCGACGCCGUCGACCGCUUCCCCUCCGUCCGCGCCGCCGAGGUCAAGGGCAAGCCCCACUUCGCCGACUUCGGGCUCGUCCCGCCCGCCUGGGGCGCCGAGGCCGCGCCCUGGGUCGCCGCCGCCGCCGACGGCUGGCCGCUGCUCGAGGAGCUCAGCUUCAAGCGCAUGGUCGUCACCGACGAGUGCCUGGAGAUGAUCGCCUCCUCCUUCAGGAACUUCCAGGUCCUGCGCCUCGUCUCAUGCGAGGGAUUCAGCACCGCCGGCCUCGCCGCCAUUACCGAAGGUUGCAGGAAUUUAAGAGAACUUGACCUCCAAGAGAACUACAUUGAGGAUUGUUCCAGUCAUUGGCUCAGUUACUUUCCGGAAUCCUUUACUUCUCUGGAAACUCUGAACUUUUCAUGCUUAGAAGGGGAGGUCAAUUUCGCUGUACUCGAGCGGCUAGUGAGCAGAUGCCGCAACCUCAAGACUCUGAAGCUCAACAAUGCUAUCCCUCUUGACAAGGUUGCUAGCCUUCUUCGUAAGGCUCCGCAACUAGUAGAACUCGGAACUGGCAAAUUCUCUGCUGAGUAUCAUUCGGAUCUCUUUGCAAAGCUCGAAGCGGCAUUUGCAGGUUGUAAAAGCCUGAGAAGGCUCUCUGGGGCUUGGGAUGCUGUGCCAGAUUACCUGCCAGCAUUCUACUGUGUAUGUGAAGGCCUCACAUCACUCAAUCUGAGUUAUGCUACUGUGCGAGGCCCUGAGCUAAUAAAAUUUAUUAGCAGAUGCAAGAAUCUGCAGCAAUUAUGGGUGAUGGACCUAAUCGAGGACCAUGGUCUAGCUGUCGUGGCAGGCUCUUGCAGUAAACUGCAAGAGCUGCGGGUCUUCCCGUCUGACCCUUUUGGUGCCGGGCAAGUUUUAUUGACUGAAAGAGGCCUGGUUGAUGUUUCUGCCAGUUGCCCCAUGUUGGAGUCAGUUCUCUACUUCUGCGGCCAGAUGACGAAUGAGGCCCUCAUUACAAUUGCAAAGAACCGUCCCAACUUCACUUGCUUCCGGUUAUGCAUCCUUGAGCCCCGUACUCCAGAUUACGUCACACGGGAGUCUCUUGAUGCUGGCUUCAGUGCCAUUGUGGAAUCAUGCAAGGGCCUUAGGCGCCUCUCUGUGUCUGGCCUUCUUACAGAUCUCGUGUUCAAAUCAAUCGGUGCAAAUGGUAAUUGUCUUGAGAUGCUGUCAAUUGCCUUUGCUGGGAACAGUGAUCUUGGCCUGCAUUAUAUCCUCUCUGGCUGCAAGACCCUGAAGAAGCUGGAGAUCAGGGACUGCCCAUUUGGAAAUAAGCCGUUGCUGGCAAAUGCUGCCAAGCUGGAGACAAUGCGAUCCCUUUGGAUGUCGUCGUGCUCAUUGACCCUGGGCGCAUGCCGACAGCUUGCAGAGAAGAUGCCCCGCCUUACCGUGGAGAUAAUGAACGAUCCUGGACGAACAUGCCCUGUGGAGUCACUUCCGGAUGAUAGCCCGGUCGAGACAUUGUAUGUGUAUCGGACAAUUGCCGGUCCAAGGUCCGACACACCAGAUUAUGUCCAGAUUGUUUAA